AAGCAACAGGACACCCAGGCAGGCAGGGGCAGGGCGGGCUCGCAGUUACUUAUAAACUUUUAUCUGCUUUGGCAUGGAGAGCCCGUGGUUAUGCUUCAGCAGCCUUCAAAGCAGCCCCAUUUGUCUUUCAGAGCCCUUCUUUUUUUUCUUUUUUUUUUUUUUUUUUUUUUUUUCUUUCUUUCUAGCUAUACUGUAGAUUAAAUAUGGGAAUAGGGGAGAAAUUUAAACUUAUUUCAAGCACAAGCUCCAGGCCUGAUUUGCGCUGGCUGUUUAGUGCCAGCUUCCCGCUUGGCUGGCUUAGCACAGUGGGACAGAAGUCCGUGUGGGAGAUAAAGCUGAAAGACACUGAUGUGCAACACAACACUGCAGCCCCAGGACCAGGAGGAAGAGACUUUCUGGUGGGAAGAACACAGCCAGGCACCAGUAACGGUGAAGAUUAUUAUAGUCAGCUGCAUAAAUCUCACACAACAGCUGAGGUGUUCCUUAAUUAUAAACCCAUUUAGCGGCACACCUGACAAUGGCAAGUACUUUCCUAGACUGCUGCCUUGCAGGUGGUCACAACUGCUCUGUGAAACUCUAUUUAAGGUUGAAGAUGUUUGAGGAACUGCCACGGUUUGUGUUUUGCCUCAGAGCAUUGCGUUGUGCCUAAGGCCUCCUGUGAUUGAGACAACAAACUGAAGUCUGCACAGGGCCGCUUAGUGGGAGCAGAGCCCCGAGGUGCACGGGGACAAGCAGGGGGCCUGGCUGACAAGCAGUGACACCUCAUCCCCCCGCCAGGUGCUAACCCAGCUCUACACCCAGCCGUGUCCCAGGGACAGGGGACAGCAGCAAGAAGAGGCCCGGGGCUCUGCCCGGUUCCAGCUGAUGCCCCAUGCUGCUUCCAAGCACAGCUCAGGAUUAGCAGGGGUCAAAGCCGGUGUUUUGGUGGCUCUGGUGACAGGAAGGCAACGGGAGGUGGUUGCAACUGUGGCACUACCAGAGGAUUUCCCCCUCACAGUACCUGCUCUAGUUUGCCUGUUCCUGCCGUAGGGCAGGGCGCCCCUCCAGGCUGUGGAGGUUCUGCUGCCACACAGCAGCCAGGGCCAUUUUAGAGCAUCAGAAACCUGAAAGGGCAUUGACCAUCUCCCUGACAGCUAUUUGUCCAUCAUUUUUCCUCUUUUUGCAUGGCCACACAAUGAAGGGGAUUUGUAUUAAUUUUUAACAAGUGGCCACAGGGAGGACAAGACCCCAACCUUCUCCAGCAGCAGCCACACUCAUGGAAGCUCAGCUUGCCCCGCACACCCGCAGGCACCAGCACUUCCAGCAGCUCCCAGUCCCUGCAGCGAGCAGGGGCACUGUGGCACAGCAAGGUGGGACCACGACUGAAAUGCUGAUGGGAGGCAGGGUCAGAAGCGGCUGACAAUUUUGGUUACUUGCCCCCGGUUUAUACCAGAGCCUCUGUGUCAGGCUAGGCUGGUAAUGUGCAGAUCACGAAGGUGACUGCAUCGCGGAGCAGCGAAGGGAACCGGAGAAAGGUCAUUCCCCAUGGAGGAGAAGUACAAAAGUCAGAUUGAGGAACACAGCAUAAUCUUUAUUAUGGUUGUUAUAUUAGCUUGCUAAAUUGGCUAAGAGAGUUGAGCAACAGCUUGCUAAGGACAAGGGAAGCUGAAUACAUGAUGACAACGUGCCAGCAGCACUGGAGUAAAUUAAUAAAAAAGCCAAGCUCCCUGACACGAGCGCUGACACAAAGAAGCUAAUGGGGGCUUCCAUUACCAAAGCUUCUUUUAUGGGGAAAAGGCA